AGCAGCCGCGGUAAUUCCAGCUCCAAUAGCGUAUAUUAAAGUUGUUGCAGUUAAAAAGCUCGUAGUUGAAUUUCGAGAUCAGAGUGUUGGUCGUGCCUUGGUACGUACUGGCAUUAUUGGUUUCUCCCUUCUGACGAACUAUGAUGUCAUUAAUUUGGUGUCAUGGGGAAUCAGGACUGUUACUUUGAAAAAUUAGAGUGUUUAAAGCAGGCUCACGCUUGAAUACAUUAGCAUGGAAUAAUGAAAUAGGACGUUCGAUCCUAUUUUGUUGGUUUUAGGAUCAACGUAAUGAUUAAUAGGGAUAGUUGGGGGCAUUAGUAUUCAAUUGUCAGAGGUGAAAUUCUUGGAUUUAUUGAAGACUAACUACUGCGAAAGCAUUUGCCAAGGAUGUUUUCAUUAAUCAAGAACGAAAGUUAGGGGAUCGAAGACGAUCAGAUACCGUCGUAGUCUUAACCAUAAACUAUGCCGACUAGGGAUCGGAUGAUGUUAAUUUUUAAUGACUCAUUC
rnacentral:rRNA from 1 species